rnacentral:rRNA from 1 species
GGAGUUAGCCGGUGCUUCUUCUGUGAGUGAUGUCCUUCCUGCCGGUUAUUGACCCGCAGGCCUUCUUCCUCACUGAAAGUGCUUUACAACCCGAAGGCCUUCUUCACACACGCGGCAUGGCUGGAUCAGGGUUGCCCCCAUUGUCCAAUAUUCCCCACUGCUGCCUCCCGUAGGAGUCUGGGCCGUGUCUCAGUCCCAGUGUGGCUGAUCAUCCUCUCAGACCAGCUACGGAUCGUCGCCUUGGUGAGCCGUUACCUCACCAACCAGCUAAUCCGACAUAGGCUCAUCCGAUAGCGCGAGGCCCGAAGGUCCCCCGCUUUCCCCCGUAGGGCGUAUGCGGUAUUAGCCUGGGUUUCCCCAGGUUAUCCCCCACUACCGGGCAGAUUCCUAUGCAUUACUCACCCGUCCGCCGCUCGCCACCAGGGAGCAAGCUCCCCGUGCUGCCGCUCGACUUGCAUGUGUUAGGCCUGCCGCCAGCGUUCAAUCUGAGCCAUGAUCAAACUCUG